AGUCAACGAUUGGAGAUGCCACAUAUCAAAACGUACAUAAUAACAAACCUUAGACCUAAAUUUACAAACAAAAAUAGACUGUUAAGAAUAGAGAUAACAAAUAGCGUCGUGAUAACAUAAACUACCCGCCACAAACAUAAGCACAUAUACGGAUAUAACUGGUCAUGAGGAAGUGAAUGCGUCAGUGAUUGUGUCAGGGACACUGAGGGAGAGUGAUGGUUUAUUUUUAUUAUUUUUUAUUUUCUGUCCAUCGUCAUAUUGUGCACCUUGAAAAAAGAAUAUUUUUUACAGUGACGCGGAUGUUCGCUACAGUCGAACAGACUUAUUUGCGGGUUUAGCCUGCAGAUGGUACCAAUAUAUUGGAACAAUUUAAGUCCCAACGGAAGUGUAGAAUUGUUCAAUAGGCUUAGUACAUGUAGACGUUAAAAUUAGGUAAAUGUCUACAUGCAAGGAAUGUCUGUCUUUUCUGGGUAACUAAUUGACUACAAUAAAUGAAUGCAACCAAUAAAAAUAAAAAGACUUGCUUGAACCAGUAAAAAAGUUUUAAAAAAAAAAAAGGGUCAAAAGAGAAAGUGAAACUGUUUCAAAUUCAAACGUCAUUUUGGAGACGGAGGACAAAGAGGAUGCAGGGAAUAAAUAAAAAGGGAAUAAAACUGGAUAAAAGAACGGAAGACUGUACUGCAUGGAAAUCCCAGGAGGGCAGCUGUUUCUGUGAUGCUGGAACCACCACAUCUGGCACCAUCCAUCUGGCACAGUCAAAGUCGCUUAGAUCACACAUCUUGCCCAUUCUAAUAGGCUAAUCUGGGUUGGAAGCCACUUGGGGUCCAGUCUAUUAUGAUGUGUUCCC